AAUACAAGGUCGUUCAUGAGCUAAGCAGAUCCUAACAGAGAAAAACAAAACAUAGAUUCUUCCCUAAAAUUUGCCUGGGUUGUGGUUAGGAGUCUCCAUUAAUUGUACAACUUCCCUUCCGCUGCUUCGGUUUGCCAACAACGGCGGUCUUCUUGAAGCAAAGUACUGUUCAUCCUCAAAAAUACUUCGUUGGUAAACUUUUGCUGCCAUGGGUACUCUUAACAUCAUCCAAGAUGGGAUUUUGAGGUCAUUUUCACAAUCACCACCAACUCAUUACACUAUGAAAAUACAGUCUUUUUCAUUCCUGUACAAAAAUAAUGUGGCUAGUAUUGAGUCAGGGGAUUUCAAAGCUGGAGGAUACAAAUGGAAAUUGAGGCUCUAUCCAAAUGGUUACUUGAAGAAGAAUGUGGUGGACCACAUCUCUUUCUACCUGGUAAUCUCUGGAUCAGCCUAUUUCCAAGAUGGUUGGGAACUUAAUGCUUUUUUCAGAUUGUUUUUGCUCGAUCAGAUAAAAGGCACCUACUUGGUACUUGAAGAUGCCAAUAAAAAAGUAAAGUGUUUUCAUGGGAAGAUGCUUUAUUCGGGUUUCGAUCAAUUUAUCCCUCUGGAAUCAUUUGUGGAUCCUUCCAAUGGUUAUCUCAUUGAUGACACCUGUGUGUUUGGAGCUGAGGUCUUUGUUUCUGAAAAAAGCAGAAUAGUUAGAGAAGAUUGCCUAUCAAUGAUCAAGAAUCCUGUCAUGUACCAGCAUGCUUGGAAGAUUGAGAAGUUUUCAGAGUUAAAAUCUGGAUAUUACUCAGUAGCAUUUAAAGCUGGUGACUACAAAUGGAAGAUACUUAUCUAUCCCAAGGGAUAUGGCCUUGGAAAGGGUAGUCAUCUUUCUCUUGACUUGAAAUUGUCUAAUCCUAAAACCCUACCUCCUGGCUCUGGAAUAUUUGCAGCGUAUUGUGUGCGCAUUGUAGAUCAAAAGCACACUAAGCAUGUUUUCGUUAAAGGGUAUAACUGGUUCAGUGCCUCGCGUCUGGCUCAGGGUUGGCAACGUCUCAUUAAGCUGGACCUUUUCCGUCGGGCAGGAAGUGGUUUUUUGAAGAAGGAUACUUGCUUAUUGGAGGCAGAGGUCACUGUACACGGAAUUUCUAAAGCUCUUUAAUCAGCUUAGAUCAGAUGGGCCGCCGUUUUCUUCUCUUGGAAAUUGAUGCAGAAGAGGUUAUGCUUAUGGACAUAUGUCAAGUAUUAAGAAGGAUGGUGAGCAUACAACUUGGGUUAAAGUGUUUGUCAACAAGGGCAGCCUUCUUGAAGCGAAGUAUAUAUUGCUGUUUAUCCUAAAAAAUAGUUCGUUGGUCAACUUUACUGCCAUGGCUACUCUUAACAUCGACCAAGAUGGGAUUUUGAGGUCAUUUUCACAAUCACUACAAACUCAUUACAAUAUGAAAAUACAGUCAUUUUCAUCACUGAACAAAAAUUAUGUGGAUAGUAUUGAGUCAGGGGAAUUCGAAGCAGGAGGACACAAAUGGAAACUGAGGUUUUAUCCAAAUGGAAACUUGAAGAAGAAUGUGGUGGACCACAUCUCUCUCUACCUUUUUCAGAUUGUUUUGCUUUAUCAAAAUAACGGCACGUACUUGGUUCUUGAAGGUAUUAUCUACUUCAGUCUGAUUCUCAUCCAGCAGAUGCCAAUAAAAAAGUAGAGUGUUUUCAUGGGAAGAUGCCUUGUUCGGAUUUCGAUCAAUUUAUCCCGCUAGAAUCAUUUGCGGAUGCUUCCAACGGAUAUCUCAUUGAUGACACCUGUGUGUUUGGAGCUGAGGUCUUUGCUUCUGAAGGAAGAAUUAUAGGCAAAGGAAAGUGUAUAUCAACGAUCAAUAAUCCCGUUAUGUCCUCUUGCUUCCAAAUAUAAGAAAUUGAAAAGUUUCUUUUUCUUCACGUGUUGGUUGUUGCAGGAUCAUAAGCCUCUCUCCCAAGGGACAUGGCAAGGGCAAGGGCAAGGGUAAGCAUCUUUCUCUUUCCUAGGCAUCGUCAGAUCGAAAAGCACUUCCUCCUGGCUACAGAAUAUUCAGAGAGUAUUCUCUGCGCCUUGUAGAUCAAAAGCUUGCCAAUCAUCUUUCUUAUAAAUGUAAAGGCCUCUUAGGGCCUGUUUGGUAUUUGAUUUGAGUCCAAUUUCUGUGUUAAAUUUUUAACACACUUUUCAAUGGAGCUGCAAAACAGGGUCCAGAUACAUUAAUCUAUUGUUGGGAUCCUUCAAAUUUCAUUAAACUGGACCUUUUCAAUCAGGCAGGCAGGGGUUUCUCUGUGAAGGAUUCUUGCAUAGUGGAAGCAGAGGUUACCAUCCACGGAACUUCUGAAACACUGCAAGUCUGCUUAAUUCUAUCAUAUGUUUAAUUCAGGCAGGCAGGUGUAAUGUUGUUGCACAUAGUGCUAAAAUUCUGUUCUUGGCUUGUGUGAAUAUGAAUGAAAGCAUUGCUUCCAA